UAAGCGGAGGAAAAGAAACUAACAAGGAUUCCCCUAGUAACGGCGAGUGAAGCGGGAAGAGCUCAAAUUUGUAAUCUGGCACUUUCAGUGUCCGAGUUGUAAUCUCGAGAAGUAUUUUCCGCGCCGGACCGCAUACAAGUCUGUUGGAAUACAGCGUCAUAGUGGUGAGAACCCCGUAACUGAUGCGGAUGCCCGGUGCUUUGUGAUAUACUUUCGAAGAGUCGAGUUGUUUGGGAAUGCAGCUCAAAUUGGGUGGUAAAUUCCAUCUAAAGCUAAAUAUUGGAGCAAGACCGAUAGCGAACAAGUACCGUGAGGGAAAGAUGAAAAGCACUUUGGAAAGAGAGUUAACAGUACGUGAAAUUGUUGGAAGGGAAACGCUUGAAGUCAGACUUGCUAUUCGGAGUUCAGCCGCAAGGUGUAUUCUUCGAUUUGCAGGCCAGCAUCAGUUUUUGGGGGUGGAAAAUCGUGGUUUGAAGGUAGCAGUUUCGGCUGUGUUAUAGCUUUCCACUGGAUUCAUCUUCGGGGACUGAGGAACGCAGUACGCUUUUUGCAAGGCUCUCGAGCUUUUCGUACUUAGGAUGCUGGUGGAAUGGCUUUAAACGACCCGUCUUGAAACACG
rnacentral:rRNA from 2 species